CAAGUCAGGAGCCUGUAAUUCAGUGGUUAUCGUUUGUUUAUGUGUUACAUAUUUGUUUUUCGUUCAUUUUUUUUAUAUAAAUAAGGCCGUUAGUUUUCUCGUUUGAAUUGUUUUACAUUAUCUUAUCGGGGCCUUUUAUAGCUGACUAUGCGGUAUGGGCUUUGCUCAUUGUUGAAGGCCGUACGGUGACCUAUAGUUGUUAAUGUCUGUGUCAUUUUGGUCUCUUGUGGACAAUUGUCUCAUUGGCAAUCAU
rnacentral:lncRNA from 1 species